GCCCUCAUAGGACAGAAAAUUAGGUAGGCGGAGUAGACAGAAGAGAAUUCUGGGAGAAAGAAGCUUAGUGAAGGAGUCGCCAUGAUUCUCCCGCUCCAGACAGACGCAGGUUAAGAUCCUCCCUGAGACAGAGGGUUGGCUCUGUUUAUGUCAACUUGGCAUCGACUUCAGAUAACCGAAAGAAGAGAGCCUCAACUGCAAAAACAUGCCUCCAUAUGAUCCUGUGUCACGACAUUUUUAAAAUUAGUGAUUGCCUGGUAACAACUCAGUCCGUUGUGGGGGGAUCUAACUUUGGGCUGAUGGUCCCGGUCUGUAUACAAAAUGAAGCUGAGCAAGUCAUGGGGAGCAAACCAAUAAGCAGCACCCGCUCAUGGCUUCUGUGUCAGUUCCUUCCUCCAGCUUCCUGCCCUGUUUGAGCUCUUGCUCUGACUACCUUCCAUCAUUAUCUACAAAAAGACGUGGUGUGCUUAAUCGCCACAUCGUUGGAUCAAGGUGAGAGAGCGAGCAGCUGCAAAGGUUCAGAAACUCUUUCCUCCCUUACCUGCCACUGAGGAGGAAGCCAAUCAUCACUGCCAACAAGAUGACUCCCACCGUCACCGACACUGCAAUGAUGGGAAUCUGGCUUUGAUCAUUGGAUGCUGCUACUGCUGAUAGAAGACACAGAAAAAAGAACUUGUAGUUAAAGGUACCACAUGCAUCAAAACGUGAGCUGCUUCACAGCGGGUAAUUGAUCGUGGUUUAAACAAUUCACCCGCAUCCAGCUAAGGUUACCUCAUAAUGUCUGUUUUCAGAAAGGCAUUUGAAGGAGGAAAUAUUAACUCACCAAAUAUAAAUCAAAAGCCCAAUGCUCACAAAUUAUUUUCUCUCUAUAAUAAAAAUCAAUGCAGAUUAUACAGUACCACAAUUAUUUGCACCUUGCAAGGUAAAGGGGAAUUUUUGUCUAUGACUUCAAACACAUGCAUGUAUACAUUGUAUAACAAAAUGUUAUAUAUUUUAUAACAAAAUUUUAUAACAAAUUUUUAUAACAUUGUAUAAUAAAAUGUUGAAUAUUUAAGCUUU